rnacentral:rRNA from 1 species
AGAGUUUGAUCCUGGCUCAGGACGAACGCUGGCGGCGUGCUUAACACAUGCAAGUCGAGCGAUGAAGCUUCCUUCGGGAAGUGGAUUAGCGGCGGACGGGUGAGUAACACGUGGGUAACCUGCCUCAAAGUGGGGGAUAGCCUUCCGAAAGGAAGAUUAAUACCGCAUAACAUAAGAUAAUCGCAUGAUUUUCUUAUCAAAGAUUUAUUGCUUUGAGAUGGACCCGCGGCGCAUUAGCUAGUUGGUAAGGUAAUGGCUUACCAAGGCAACGAUGCGUAGCCGACCUGAGAGGGUGAUCGGCCACAUUGGAACUGAGACACGGUCCAGACUCCUACGGGAGGCAGCAGUGGGGAAUAUUGCGCAAUGGGGGAAACCCUGACGCAGCAACGCCGCGUGGGUGAUGAAGGUCUUCGGAUUGUAAAGCCCUGUUUUCUGGGACGAUAAUGACGGUACCAGAGGAGGAAGCCACGGCUAACUACGUGCCAGCAGCCGCGGUAAUACGUAGGUGGCGAGCGUUGUCCGGAUUUACUGGGCGUAAAGGGUGCGUAGGCGGAUGUUUAAGUGGGAUGUGAAAUCCCCGGGCUUAACCUGGGGGCUGCAUUCCAAACUGGAUAUCUAGAGUGCAGGAGAGGAAAGCGGAAUUCCUAGUGUAGCGGUGAAAUGCGUAGAGAUUAGGAAGAACACCAGUGGCGAAGGCGGCUUUCUGGACUGUAACUGACGCUGAGGCACGAAAGCGUGGGUAGCAAACAGGAUUAGAUACCCUGGUAGUCCACGCCGUAAACGAUGGAUACUAGGUGUAGGGGGUAUCAACUCCCUCUGUGCCGCAGUUAACACAAUAAGUAUCCCGCCUGGGGAGUACGGUCGCAAGAUUAAAACUCAAAGGAAUUGACGGGGGCCCGCACAAGCAGCGGAGCAUGUGGUUUAAUUCGAAGCAACGCGAAGAACCUUA